UCGUUCUUUGAAAUAGUUAAUUCUAUUCAUUUAAAUCUUUAGAUUUUUCAUAUCUUAAUACUUUUGUAUAUUUUAAUAAAUAGAUUUAGCUCUUCUGAUAUGUGAGCCGGCUUCCAACGUUCACCUUCAACUCGUUCGCGAACGACCCAUCACUACUCCAUUGUUUCAUCGCCCCCAACCAACGCGUUCAAAGGAUCAUGGCUAUUUGAGAUUGAAAAGCCAUAUACCGAUUGACCAUGCAAUGCAUGCUUCCAACACGAUGCACAACCAACAACUAUGGUUUGCAUGCCCUGCCAAAUGACCCUAUCAUGCAGAAUAAGUGGUUGGAGUUCAUUGGUCCCCAGUGGUUGUGCGUAUACCGGUAGCUAGACCAUAGAUUGCUAGUUAUGUAUCUGGUUAUGUAUAUUUUGAUCAUCAUUAUCAUCGCUAGCAUAGCUGAUGCUAGCUAGCUAGCUAGCUACCUAACUAGCUACCUAGCCAGCUGGCUAAUGUUAGCCUACCUUAAUACAACUCAGAUUUGGAUUGCUUGACUUUAAAUGCAACUUUAGCCAGCUAACUAAGAGGGGGACCACCAUAUUUUAGCUAGCUAACAUUAGCAUUGCUAACUAUAUUUUAGAACUGUGUUAGUAACAGUAAUGGCAACAUUGCCAUCUCACUUAAGUAUAUUUGACGACAUCAUAAUAUAUCAAAGUUGUUUCCUUCUAAUUAUUUGCCUACUUUAGCAAUGUCAUCGUAUUUCCAUGCCAAUCUAAGUUAGUGUCAUUUAGAUGAAACAGUCACAUUAGCCUCCGAGAUGCAACCCAUGUCUAGGGCGCAAAUAUAUAUUGGAUGCAGAUAUGGUGGUACGAGCUAACGCAUGUCUGACUACAAACAGUGUACUAAGUAAUGGCAACAAACUCAAACCAACCCAGGGCCGUAGCAUAGCAUGUUGCAUAGUGUAACUUCGUCACCGGCCUGAAUCUAAUCCAAUCUAGAGCCAGUCAGUCAAAAUCUGUAAAGAAUAGAAUUUAGCUUCCAAACAAGAUUACGUUCUCGAAAGCUAUGUUUAUAAUUGAGGCAUGAUGACAAUCCUUGACCCUGUUUUUCUGUUAGAGAAAGUGCACAGUUGGGUGCCAGACUGAUCCCCUGGUCUUGAACGGAUGCCAGGACCUACCACAAGGAGAAAAAGCCCUUCCAGUCAACACCACCUCAUAAGAUGACCUGCUGCAGUUGUUCAAGAUGUCCCGUUUGCAGCCAAACAUGCAGCAUAGAGAGGACCAGCAAGGGGGCGCUCAUCAGAAUCGUGCAGACAUGCCUUCGCCAUGAGCAUUACUAUUACUAUUACUAUUACACAUGUUGGCAAGUAUCCGGCCAGCAACCUUCACCCGUCACAGUCUCAUUACAUGUACUAAUACAGAAGGUAACCCACUUCGUUACUUUGAUACAUUUCGUAACCCAAUUGUGAAACAUUGUUUAUGUAAACUGACAUUAUUCGUUGCUUAUUUUCUACUUAUUAGAUGCAUUGAAAGUCCAGGACAUAACGUAGCCUGGUGGAACCAGCCUGAUCGACAUUCUAUUUCACUUCACAUAUAAUGAUAUCUGAAGUGAAAUAAAAAGGUGAACGCAGCGAUCAGCUUGGUUCCACCAUGCUAAUCAUAAGCACCAUGGAGGGAUAACGUGCUUGUGCGUUCAUGCGUGCGUGUGUGUGAGACAGACCAGUGUCUUUGAUGAGGGGCCAGGAUCUGAUCUACGCAGCCAUGCCAUCAAUGGGGCUCUGACAAAGACCUCACCUCUUGCCUGCUCACCAACAGUCGUCGAUGGGGAGAAUAGAAUUAUAAACAUGUAUGGAGCCAGCACAUGGAGACUUGCAAGGUGAUGUGAUGAAGUCCAGACUGACAGAAUGGCUUGAUAAGGAUGCCUCUGAAUGGAGAGACCUGGCACUCAGCAUAAACAUUUUACUAGACACAACUUUGACUUGUGCUGUCAAUUAUUGAAUUGAAUGCUAUUAGUCAAUAUGGGGAGGGAGAAAAUCUGUGUAUUUUGCACCAGGAUCAGGGAACUCCUGUUGUAUACAGGACACCACACAGGAAGGUAUGACCACUCUGACAUGUUUGUCAAGGUAGCCCCAUUACCACCAGACAAAAUGCCAACGCACAGUAUCCUUUUAUCCCCCAUGGUAUCGUUUUGGCAUCCAUUUGGUAUUGAGUAUCAUGAUGGUAUCGAGUAACUUAAUACUAAACCUGGUAUCGAAGUAAAAAUUCUGGUAUCGUGACGACACUAGUCUGGACAACCCCUCUCUCUCUCUCUCUGCCUUUCUCUUCUCUCUCUCCAGGGAUACCUCUCCCGGCUCUUACUGACACCUCCCGAAGAGCCCACUCUCUUUCCAUUUACUGUAACCAGCAUCCGCACCCACUGAGCACCAACCAACAUUGGACAUCGGACGUCCAUAGAUGUUGAAAUGUGGUCAGUCCACAAUGGCCUUGAUUUCAACGUCCACAGGUGUCGUUUUCUUGGCUGGUUCAGACCGGCCUUAAUGUCUAGCGACUUAGAUUGUUGGGGGCAUUGAUUUGACCUAAACAUAAACGUCCAUGAUUGGUGACCAGACCAAAUCUGAACCAAUCAUAGACGUC